AUACAGCUGCUGCUCUACUACGGCUCGCAGGAGGACCGGCGGCGGGAUUACGGGAAACCAUACUCUACGGGGAAUCUAGCGGACUGUGAUGUCAUCGUCACCACGUACAACAUCAUGUCUGGUAGUUCAGCGGAGGACCGGCAGUUCUUCCGCAAGCUGAGGUUCGGUCACAUAGUCUUCGACGAAGCUCACAUGUUGAAGAACAUGCAAAGUCAGCGUUAUCGCAACUUCAUGAGAGUGCAGGCGGAGGGGCGGUUGCUGUUGACGGGGACGCCGCUACAGAACAACCUUGGCGAGCUGAUCUCACUUCUGUAGGCUUUCACAUGCGCGGACAUAUUACGACGAAACGCAACAGCUGAAGAAACCUAGUUACGUGAGCA